CCCCUAGAUGUUCUGGGCCGCACGCGCGCUACACUGAACAGUUCAACAAGUCUUAACCUUGGCCGAUAGGGCUGGGUAAUCUUUGAACGCUGUUCGUGAUUGGGAUAGACCUUUGCAAUUAUGGGUCUUCAACGAGGAAUUCCUAGUAAACGCAAGUCAUCAGCUUGCAUUGAUUACGUCCCUGCCCUUUGUACACACCGCCCGUCGCACCUACCGAUUGAAUGGUCCGGUGAAAUCUCGGGACGGCGGCUUGGUCGCUUGCGUCCGACUGCUGAAACUUGAUUAAACCAUAUCAUUUAGAGGAAGGUGAAGUCGUANCA
rnacentral:rRNA from 1 species